UGAGGAAUAUUGGUCAAUGGGCGAGAGCCUGAACCAGCCAAGUAGCGUGCAGGAUGACGGCCCUAUGGGUUGUAAACUGCUUUUAUGCGGGGAUAAAGUGAGGGACGUGUCCUUCAUUGCAGGUACCGCAUGAAUAAGGACCGGCUAAUUCCGUGCCAGCAGCCGCGGUAAUACGGAAGGUCCGGGCGUUAUCCGGAUUUAUUGGGUUUAAAGGGAGCGUAGGCCGUGGAUUAAGCGUGUUGUGAAAUGCAGGUGCUCAACGUCUGCACUGCAGCGCGAACUGGUCCACUUGAGUGUGCGCAACGCAGGCGGAAUUCGUCGUGUAGCGGUGAAAUGCUUAGAUAUGACGAAGAACUCCGAUUGCGAAGGCAGCUUGCGGGAGCACAACUGACGCUGAAGCUCGAAAGUGCGGGUAUCGAACA
rnacentral:rRNA from 1 species